ACCCCCACUCCGGGACCCCCUCCCGGUACCCCACCCCCGGGGUCCCGAACUCCCCAUCCCCCGGGACCCGACCCCACCGGGAUCCCCCCUCCCAUUCCAAGAGCCCACCCUGCUCGCCUGUCCCAAUCCCGGUGUCCCAAUCCCGGUGCCCCACCCCCAGCACCCGUCCACAGCUCCUGUUUAUGGCCGUGGAGCAGUUCGCGAUCUGAGGAGAAUCCCCCCGGAUCUGGGAAGCAAUGGAUCAUCUGCAGGCAGGAGUGGGAACUUAAAAUUGGGAUAACAAUUUGGCGAGCCAGCCAGGAGUCCAAGACGAGGUCUCGGAAGCGGUGUGAGUGAUCGACAGGGAUAACGACUACCUGAGACGGAAGGGCCCACAAGUUUCUUCAUUCACAGGUGAAGAGCGCCUUUAAACCACGGGAAGGACAGGAUGCGGAGUUGCCUGACCUGGAAAUUGGAGAUUCGGUACUGAUACGAGAUUGGGAGUGCCCUAAAUUGGGACCUCGGUGGAAAGGCCCCUUCCAGAUACUGCUCCAAACUCCUACAGCUGUGAAAGUACAGGGCCAGGAACGCUGGAUUCAUCUGAGUGACUGUAAACGAUGUCCACCAGAAGGAAAGUGACGUUUCUUAGAUUUGGACUCCUUCCCAUUACCAGUACUCCUGCGUUGGCAUUACAGGAAAUUUAUCAUGGCAGUGACCAAGGCCCAACCAUCUUCAGCUGUUUCAGCAACGUCCGUCCUCGCAGCACAAGGUUAAAACUGGGAUGUUUGCUGAUUAUUGCACAAUGUUCUGUUCCAUUUGCAACCCCUCACCAAAAGGCAACCUACAGGCAGCAAGACCUGGAAAACAUCCUGGCAUUGAAUGGCAAUACCACUGUCAAGUUCCCCACCAUCAACAUCCUGGGGCCACCACUGCCACAGCUACAUAAGUACUCCAGCUAUAAGUGCAGGUCAGACAUUGGGUGUUUUAUGAUGAGUGACUCACCUCCUGACACCAAGUGCUUUGCCAUGUGUAAGGCAUGUCAGGAGUUCCAACAACACCCAGAAGCUCAACACCGUCAGAACAAAGCAGUCCGUUCGAUUGGCCCUUCAUCCACCAUCCUAGACGUUGUACUCCACCACCACCUAACCCCUGUUCACAGUAGCUGCAGUGUGUAUGUUCUACAAAGUGCACUGCAGUUGUUUGCCCAGACUGCACCGACAUCCCCACAUCGUGACCUAUACCACAAGAAGGGCUAGUGCGGCAGUGCAUAGGAAGAGUACCACCUUAUUGCCAAUUAAAUGCAGCAUUUAAACUUUAACUUUUAAACUUUAAGACUUUAAAACAUAGGAAUAUUGGAAGUUACUGAUCAUGCACAAGCAAACGUUCAAACAUGCCCACAUCAACUAAACUCCAGCAACUUCCAAGAUUUCUCACAUUCCAAACUCUGAUCUUUGAUGAGACUUGGAUUAUAAAACCACUUUGUCACACAGUUUGGGCAUAAUGACCCACUGUACCACAGUUGAACCAUUGCAUUUGGGUUUUGGCCCCCACUGCCAUCUUCCUGAUAGGGUGAAGGUAUGCUCCUUUGUUGUGAUAUUCCCCUUCAAUAACUUCUCUGUUGCCCCCCUACCCCAACCUUCAUCUCUCCAUACGUUACCCUGUGUAUUUUCUCGGAGAGGAAACAUUUUAGUUAUCCCUGGAGCCUUUCCUGAUUCAGAACCUGACCCCUGCAUCUCCUUCUCUCAUGCCUGGGCCAUUCUCCUUAAUACCCAUGCCUCAGUGUGACCAUCAUCAGUGGGAUCAAAAUUACUACAGGCCUGUUGGAACUUUUCAGUUCAAUGUGAGACUAAAGUGCAUGUCUAAAACUGUCUCUUUACUGCAGACAAAUUGUAUCUACUUAGGCCUGGACUGGACCCCCUCAAAGUGAAGCCAGAAACUAUAUGCAGACACUGUGGGGUGUUCUCCCUUUCGCUGUCUGCACUUAGUUAUACCUUCCACAGGGUCUCCACUGUCGAAUCCUAGCGUCGCUAAAAUUGCAUUUUUCAUAUCGACCAAGGAACCUCCAAUCUUGUGUUGAGACUGGGGCAGAGCUGAGCACACGGCUGGACUCAGAGCUGUCAUUAUAAGUGGGCAGGCACGGUAGUGUAGCAGUUAGCGUAACACUUUACAGCGCCAGCGACCCGGGUUCAAUUCCGGCCGCUGUCUGUAAGGAGUUUGUAUGUUCUCCCUGUGUCUGCGUGGGUUUCCUCCGGGUGCUCCGGUUUCCUCCCACAAUCCAAAGACGUACGGGUUAGGAAGUUGUGGGCAUGGUAUGUUGGCGCCGGAAGCGUGGUGACACUUGUGGGCUGCACCCAGAACACUCUACACAAAAGGUGCAUUUCACUGUGUGUUUUGAUGUACAUGUGACUAAUAAAAGAUAUCUUAUCUCA